UAAGUGUGCCAUCAUUAUUGUUGUUCAU
rnacentral:sRNA from 1 species